rnacentral:rRNA from 1 species
GGGUUGUGAGGUUAAGCGACUAAGCGUACACGGUGGAUGCCCUGGCAGUCAGAGGCGAUGAAGGACGUGCUAAUCUGCGAUAAGCGUCGGURAGGUGAUAUGAACCGUUAUAACCGGCGAUUUCCGAAUGGGGAAACCCAGUGUGWUUCGWCACACUAUCAUUAACUGAAUCCAUAGGUUAAUGAGGCGAACCGGGGGAACUGAAACAUCUAAGUACCCCGAGGAAAAGAAAUCAACCGAGAUUCCCCCAGUAGCGGCGAGCGAACGGGGAGSAGCCCAGAGCCUGAAUCAGUGUGUGUGUUAGUGGAAGCGUCUGGAAAGGCGCGCGAUACAGGGUGACAGCCCCGUACACAAAAAUGCACAURCUGUGAGCUCGAUGAGUAGGGCGGGACACGUGGUAUCCUGUCUGAAUAUGGGGGGACCAUCCUCCAAGGCUAAAUACUCCUGACUGACCGAUAGUGAACCAGUACCGUGAGGGAAAGGCGAAAAGAACCCCGGCGAGGGGAGUGAAAAAGAACCUGAAACCGUGUACGUACAAGCAGUGGGAGCACAGAGCAAUCUGUGUGACUGCGUACCUUUUGUAUAAUGGGUCAGCGACUUAUAUUCUGUAGCAAGGUUAACCGAAUAGGGGAGCCGAAGGGAAACCGAGUCUUAACUGGGCGUUAAGUUGCAGGGUAUAGACCCGAAACCCGGUGAUCUAGCCAUGGGCAGGUUGAAGGUUGGGUAACACUAACUGGAGGACCGAACCGACUAAUGUUGAAAAAUUAGCGGAUGACUUGUGGCUGGGGGUGAAAGGCCAAUCAAACCGGGAGAUAGCUGGUUCUCCCCGAAAGCUAUUUAGGUAGCGCCUCGUGAAUUCAUCUCCGGGGGUAGAGCACUGUUUCGGCAAGGGGGUCAUCCCGACUUACCAACCCGAUGCAAACUGCGAAUACCGGAGAAUGUUAUCACGGGAGACACACGGCGGGUGCUAACGUCCGUCGUGAAGAGGGAAACAACCCAGACCGCCAGCUAAGGUCCCAAAGUCAUGGUUAAGUGGGAAACGAUGUGGGAAGGCCCAGACAGCCAGGAUGUUGGCUUAGAAGCAGCCAUCAUUUAAAGAAAGCGUAAUAGCUCACUGGUCGAGUCGGCCUGCGCGGAAGAUGUAACGGGGCUAAACCAUGCACCGAAGCUGCGGCAGCGACGCUUAUGCGUUGUUGGGUAGGGGAGCGUUCUGUAAGCCUGUGAAGGUGUGCUGUGAGGCAUGCUGGAGGUAUCAGAAGUGCGAAUGCUGACAUAAGUAACGAUAAAGCGGGUGAAAAGCCCGCUCGCCGGAAGACCAAGGGUUCCUGUCCAACGUUAAUCGGGGCAGGGUGAGUCGACCCCUAAGGCGAGGCCGAAAGGCGUAGUCGAUGGGAAACAGGUUAAUAUUCCUGUACUUGGUGUUACUGCGAAGGGGGGACGGAGAAGGCUAUGUUGGCCGGGCGACGGUUGUCCCGGUUUAAGCGUGUAGGCUGGUUUUCCAGGCAAAUCCGGAAAAUCAAGGCUGAGGCGUGAUGACGAGGCACUACGGUGCUGAAGCAACAAAUGCCCUGCUUCCAGGAAAAGCCUCUAAGCAUCAGGUAACAUCAAAUCGUACCCCAAACCGACACAGGUGGUCAGGUAGAGAAUACCAAGGCGCUUGAGAGAACUCGGGUGAAGGAACUAGGCAAAAUGGUGCCGUAACUUCGGGAGAAGGCACGCUGAUAUGUAGGUGARGUCCCUCGCGGAUGGAGCUGAAAUCAGUCGAAGAUACCAGCUGGCUGCAACUGUUUAUUAAAAACACAGCACUGUGCAAACACGAAAGUGGACGUAUACGGUGUGACGCCUGCCCGGUGCCGGAAGGUUAAUUGAUGGGGUUAGCGGUAACGCGAAGCUCUUGAUCGAAGCCCCGGUAAACGGCGGCCGUAACUAUAACGGUCCUAAGGUAGCGAAAUUCCUUGUCGGGUAAGUUCCGACCUGCACGAAUGGCGUAAUGAUGGCCAGGCUGUCUCCACCCGAGACUCAGUGAAAUUGAACUCGCUGUGAAGAUGCAGUGUACCCGCGGCAAGACGGAAAGACCCCGUGAACCUUUACUAUAGCUUGACACUGAACAUUGAGCCUUGAUGUGUAGGAUAGGUGGGAGGCUUWGAAGUGUGGACGCCAGUCUGCAUGGAGCCGRCCUUGAAAUACCACCCUUUAAUGUUUGAUGUUCUAACGUUGRCCCSURAUCSGGGUUGCGGACAGUGUCUGGUGGGUAGUUUGACUGGGGCGGUCUCCUCCUAAAGAGUAACGGAGGAGCACGAAGGUUGGCUAAUCCUGGUCGGACAUCAGGAGGUUAGUGCAAUGGCAUAAGCCAGCUUGACUGCGAGCGUGACGGCGCGAGCAGGUGCGAAAGCAGGUCAUAGUGAUCCGGUGGUUCUGAAUGGAAGGGCCAUCGCUCAACGGAUAAAAGGUACUCCGGGGAUAACAGGCUGAUACCGCCCAAGAGUUCAUAUCGACGGCGGUGUUUGGCACCUCGAUGUCGGCUCAUCACAUCCUGGGGCUGAAGUAGGUCCCAAGGGUAUGGCUGUUCGCCAUUUAAAGUGGUACGCGAGCUGGGUUUAGAACGUCGUGAGACAGUUCGGUCCCUAUCUGCCGUGGGCGCUGGAGAACUGAGGGGGGCUGCUCCUAGUACGAGAGGACCGGAGUGGACGCAUCACUGGUGUUCGGGUUGUCAUGCCAAUGGCACUGCCCGGUAGCUAAAUGCGGAAGAGAUAAGUGCUGAAAGCAUCUAAGCACGAAACUUGCCCCGAGAUGAGUUCUCCCUGACUCCUUGAGAGUCCUGAAGGAACGUUGAAGACGACGACGUUGAUAGGCCGGGUGUGUAAGCGCAGCGAUGCGUUGAGCUAACCGGUACUAAUGAACCGUGAGGCUUAACCUUACAACGCCGAAGMUGUU